rnacentral:rRNA from 1 species
UCCUCCCUCUUUCUUCGUGCUUAACACAUGCAAGUCGAACGGAAAGGCCCUGCUUUUGUGGGGUGCUCGAGUGGCGAACGGGUGAGUAACACGUGAGUAACCUGCCCUUGACUUUGGGAUAACUUCAGGAAACUGGGGCUAAUACCGGAUAGGAGCUCCUGCUGCAUGGUGGGGGUUGGAAAGUUUCGGCGGUUGGGGAUGGACUCGCGGCUUAUCAGCUUGUUGGUGGGGUAGUGGCUUACCAAGGCUUUGCCGGGUAGCCGGCCUGAGAGGGUGACCGGCCACAUUGGGACUGGGAUACGGCCCAGACUCCUACGGGAGGCAGCAGUGGGGAAUAUUGCACAAUGGGCGGGAGCCUGAUGCAGCAACGCCGCGUGCGGGAUGACGGCCUUCGGGUUGUAAACCGCUUUCGCCUGUGACGAAGCGUGAGUGACGGUAAUGGGUAAAGAAGCACCGGCUGACUACGUG